UACGGGGGGGGCAAGCGUUGUUCGGAAUUACUGGGCGUAAGGGCUCGUAGGCGGCCAACUAAGUCAGACGUGAAAUCCCUCGGCUUAACCGGGGAACUGCGUCUGAUACUGGUUGGCUUGAAUCCGGGGAGAGGGAUGUGGAAUUCCAGGUGUAGCGGUGAAAUGCGUAGAUAUCUGGGAGGAACACCGGUGGCGAAGGCGACAUCCUGGACCGGUAUUGACGCUGAGGCGCGAAAGCCAGGGGAGCAAAGCGGG
rnacentral:rRNA from 1 species